UACAGAGGUGGCAAGCGUUGUUCGGAAUUACUGGGCGUAAAGGGCGCGUAGGCGGUCUUGUAAGUCUCGUGUGAAAUCCCUCGGCUUAACUGAGGAACUGCACGGGAUACUGCAUGACUUGAGUUCGGGAGAGGGAAGCGGAAUUCCGGGUGUAGCGGUGAAAUGCGUAGAUAUCCGGAGGAACACCGGUGGCGAAGGCGGCUUCCUGGACCGACACUGACGCUGAGGCGCGAAAGCUAGGGGAGCAAACGGGAUUAGAAACCCCCGUAGUCC
rnacentral:rRNA from 1 species